AAUUAUUUUGGUUUUGAUGUAAUAAUAUUAUUCUUAUUUUUCUUUUUGGAAGGCAUAACAAAUUGAAGAUAUACUAUAUGAUAGUAGGUCUAGAACAAAACUAAAAAAUUAAACUAAAAUCAAAGUAGAAAUUUAUUCAUAUAUAUAUAUAUAUAUAUUGUUUUGCUUUCAAAGUUGGCUAAAUUAAUAAUGUCUAUCAUGUGUUGGAUGGAAUUCAAGAUAUAUGUAAUGGUUAGUGGAAUUCAUUUGCUGUUUCAUAUAUCAAUGUUUGGUGUUUUUAAAAUAGGCAAAUACUUCCAUUCUUCAUAUUUUUAUAAUAGGUAUUGAUGCCUACAAUGUCCCAUUAAAGAUUAUGCCACUUAGUUUAGUGUUUUCUUAUAUAUUGUUCAAUAUACAUUUGGCAGUCAAACAGAUUCAUUUCGAAUUGAAUAAAUUUUUUAUUUCAGUUGUUUUCAAUAACUGAAAUUUAGUUUGCUUCUGGACGAAUUCUGUCAGUUCAUCAACAAUAAAAUAGUGCAGAAAACCGAGGUACAAUGCACAAUUAACCACUACAGGAAGAUAUUUUUAGUAGUUGGGAGCUGCUGGAGUGGGUGCCGUUAUAGAAAUUCAUUGUUUCUUCCAAUGACUGCUAUGCAAAAAAAAAAAAAAAAAAAAAAAAAAAAAAAAAAAAAGGACAAUUUGAAAAUCCUCUAGAAGUUGAACUGGUAGCUGUUUUGCAUUGCUAGAAUUUUGCUCAUGAAGAACAGAAAAAGGCUUAUAUUUUAGAAGGUUAUUCUGGUAUUGUUGCUUUGGUAUAUGAAUGAAAAUAAUUAAUUAUUUACUGAGUUUUGUUUUUUUUUUUUUUUUUUUUUU